GUACCUGUAGCUCAGCUGGAUAGAGUGCUUGACUACGAAUCAAGAAGCCGGGGGUUCGAAUCCCUUCAGGUACACCA
rnacentral:tRNA from 1 species